GUGCUCACUUCAGCAGCACGUAUACUAAAAUUGGAAUGAUACAGAGAAGAUUAGCAUGGCCCCUGCACAAGAUGGGCACGCAAAUUCGUGAAGCGUUCCAUAUUUAA